rnacentral:rRNA from 1 species
AUGAACGCUGGCGGCGUGCCUAAUACAUGCAAGUCGAGCGAACAGAUGAGGAGCUUGCUCCUCUGACGUUAGCGGCGGACGGGUGAGUAACACGUGGAUAACCUACCUAUAAGACUGGGAUAACUUCGGGAAACCGGAGCUAAUACCGGAUAAUAUAUUGAACCGCAUGGUUCAAUAGUGAAAGACGGUUUUGCUGUCACUUAUAGAUGGAUCCGCGCCGCAUUAGCUAGUUGGUAAGGUAACGGCUUACCAAGGCAACGAUGCGUAGCCGACCUGAGAGGGUGAUCGGCCACACUGGAACUGAGACACGGUCCAGACUCCUACGGGAGGCAGCAGUAGGGAAUCUUCCGCAAUGGGCGAAAGCCUGACGGAGCAACGCCGCGUGAGUGAUGAAGGUCUUCGGAUCGUAAAACUCUGUUAUUAGGGAAGAACAAAUGUGUAGGUAACUAUGCACGUCUUGACGGUACCUAAUCAGAAAGCCACGGCUAACUACGUG